rfam:Oryza sativa (indica cultivar-group) chromosome 1, whole genome shotgun sequence.
AAAAAGACAAACCCUGGGUUUCCGUGUCCAACUUUGACUGUCCGUUUUAUAUGAAAUUCUUUUAUAACUCGUAUUUCUAUUGUUGUUAGAUGAUAAACAUGAUUAAUAUUCUAUAUGUGACUUAUCUUUUUAAUUUUUUUAAAUAAGACAGACGGUUAAACGUUGGGCACGUAAACCAAGGUUUAUCUUUUU